AUGGGUCGAGUUGACAAGUUUUGCUUGAGAGUGAGGAUUUGAUGGUAGGGUUUCGUGAUGUGUAGGGAGUGGUAAGAUUCGGAAUUUAGAAAUUAAAGUAGUAAAAGUAUGUAUAUAUGAAAGUAAUAUCUAAGCCCUAAGAGUUUGCUUAUGACACCAUAAUUAGUGGUUUCAUGAGUCCCAAAUUGCCCAUUGUAAUCAUAACAAGAACUCUAGAAUCUUUGAUAUGAUAGCUUAGGUUUAUGAUGGCUAAUCAUGGUAUGAUUAACACCACAAACUCAGCCAUGUUUUUAUAUAUUUAUGUAUAGUUUAUAUAGUAAUAAUACAUCCUAAAACUAAGUCCAAUCAAGUAUUGUCAUAUAACAUCAUGUAUGUCAAGCAUGGAGGUUAGAAAACCUCAUUAUAUGAUUCACCACUACACACACCAUCAUGAAGAUGGUGGGAGGGUCAUGAAUAACAAGAAAGUAAUUCUAAUCUAACAAGUCAUGAGAGUGUUCACAAGGUUCAAAUGAAAGAGAGCAACUUAGUUUGAAAGCCAAAGCUUCCAUUUGUUCACACUUCACAAGUCACAAGUUCAUCAUAUAGAAGAUGAUGUCUUGUGCUUGUUUUCAUCAUUGGUAAACCAUGUAUAAACAGAAAAUAAAAGGGGUAUUUGAACCCAAAACUUUGAUGGAAAUCCCCUAAACACAAACCCACAACCAUAGACUAUGUUGUGAGCUUGGUGAGAAUAAGAUUCCACCAUGUUUUCUAUCAAAACAUGAACAUAUAAGAAAUAAAAACGAGCAGAAAGUUUGUUGCACUUUGGGCCUCAAAAAUGGUGAGUUUUCACCUUAGUUUGCCCAAGCAACUUGUGAAAACCUUCGUAGAGGUUAUCCAAGUGUCAAUAAGAAAGAAAUGAGAAGAAAAUCGAAGUAGAAGUGAGUUAAAACUCACUUAGAAGGCUGAAAAUUUUCUGAUAUGUUGCUGAAAACUCAGCUGUAUUUAGAGAGGUUUUUGAGUGAUUUAGAGUGUU
rnacentral:lncRNA from 1 species